rnacentral:rRNA from 1 species
UACGAAGGGUGCAAGCGUUACUCGGAAUUACUGGGCGUAAAGCGUGCGUAGGUGGUGAGUUAAGUCUGUCGUGAAAGCCCCGGGCUCAACCUGGGAAUGGCAAUGGAUACUGGCAAGCUAGAGUGCGGUAGAGGGUAGUGGAAUUCCCGGUGUAGCGGUGAAAUGCGUAGAGAUCGGAAAGAACACCAACGGCGAAAGCACUCUGCUGGGCCGACACUGACACUGAGAGACGAAAGCUAGGGGAGCGAAUGGG